ACGAACGCUGGCGGCAUGCCUAACACAUGCAAGUCGAACGCGACCUUCGGGUCUAGUGGCGCACGGGUGCGUAACGCGUGGGAACCUGCCCUUAGGUUCGGAAUAACUCCCCGAAAGGGGUGCUAAUACCGGAUAAUGUCUUCGGACCAAAGAUUUAUCGCCUUUGGAUGGGCCCGCGUUGGAUUAGCUAGUUGGUAGGGUAAAAGCCUACCAAGGCGACGAUCCAUAGCUGGUCUGAGAGGAUGAUCAGCCGCACUGGGACUGAGACACGGCCCAGACUCCUACGGGAGGCAGCAGUGGGGAAUAUUGGACAAUGGGCGAAAGCCUGAUCCAGCAAUGCCGCGUGAGUGAUGAAGGCCUUAGGGUUGUAAAGCUCUUUUACCCGGGAUGAUAAUGACAGUACCGGGAGAAUAAGCUCCGGCUAACUCCGU
rnacentral:rRNA from 1 species